rnacentral:rRNA from 1 species
AGAGUUUGAUCAUGGCUCAGGGCGAACGCUGGCGGCGUGCCUAAAACAUGCAAGUCGAGCGGGGGUUGGCCGCGGGGCAACCCGCGGUUUCAGCUCUAGCGGCGAACGGGUGAGUAACACGUGGGUAACCUGCCCCGAAGACGGGGAUAACCUCGGGAAACCGGGGCUAAUACCCGAUACCCUCACCGGAGGGCAUCCUCUGGUGAGGAAAGGUCCGCAAGGUCCGCUUCAGGAUGGGCCCGCGGCGUAUCAGCUCGUUGGUGAGGUAACGGCUCACCAAGGCGAUGACGCGUAGCUGGCCUGAGAGGGUGGUCAGCCACACUGGGACUGA